rnacentral:misc_RNA from 1 species
GAUGAAGAAUGUAGCGAAAUGCGAUAAGUGAUGUGAAUUGCAGAAUUCAGAGAAUCAUCGAAUCUUUGAACGCACCUUGCGCUCCUUGGUAUUCCUUGGAGCAUGCCUGUUUGACUAUCAUGAAAUUCUCAAAGUAAAUCUUUUUGUUAAUUCAAUUAGGUUCACUUUGGAUUUGGAGGUUUUUUGCAGCUUCACACCUGCUCCUCUUUGUGCAUUAGCUGGAUCUCAGUGUUAUGCUUGGUUCCACUCGGCGUGAUAAGUUAUCUAUCGCUGAGGACACUUUUUUUUUGUUUUUUUUCUAAAAAUAAAUAAAUAACUAAGUGGCCAAGGGAAAUGCAGAUGAACCGCUUCCAAUAGUCCAUUAGCUUGGACAAAUAUAUUUUUAUGAUCUGAUCUCAAAUCAGGUAGGACUACCCGCUGAACUUAAGCAUAUCAAUAAGCGGAGGA